AAUUUGAGGUUCUGUUUACUCUCCAUAUAGGUAACAUCAAAUCACCGUACUUGCAUGUGACAAGAAACACGGGACAAUCAGUAUUCCGCUCUCAUGAAAAAGUAGCAAUGCUGUCAAAAAAACAAACAUUUCUUAAUCUUGCGCAGAAAUGGAUAAAAAAACGAAAUAACAUUCUCUCACAACGAUUUCUCGCAUCCAAAAUACAAACAGACACAAGACAAGUGCGACAGAGGUGGAAACCUACUGUAGGAUUAGAAAUUCAUGCUCAGAUUGCAACAAAGUCAAAAUUAUUUUCUGACGCAUCUACUAACUUUGCCUGUCCAACUAAUUCAUGUGUCUCGUUUUUCGAUUGUGCCACACCAGGAACAUUACCUGUUUUAAAUAGGAAAUGUGUGGAAGCUGCUGUAUUGACAGCAUUGGCGCUGUCUUGUCAAUUGAAUGAAACUUCCUUGUUUGAGAGGAAACAUUAUUUCUAUGCGGAUUUGCCUGCAGGAUUUCAAAUAACUCAACAAGGACAUCCUAUUGCAGUCAAUGGCGAACUACAAUUUUAUGUGAUAAAUCCAAAACAGCAUGGACUGCAGUACUUGAAAUCCUCUAAACUAAAACAGAUUCAAUUAGAACAAGACAGUGGCAAAACUUUGUAUGAUGAAAGUACAGGAAGAAGUUUAAUUGAUCUCAAUCGUGCUGGAAUACCUUUAAUGGAAUUUGUAUUUGAGCCCGACUUAGCUGAUAGUGAAGAAGCAGCUGCUCUUGUAAAAGAGCUAGUACUCACAUUACAAUUAUUGGGCGUCUGUAGUGGCAAAAUGGAAGAAGGAGCACUUCGUAUCGAUGCUAAUGUUUCUGUAAAUAACCGAGAUGAUAGUUUAGGUACUAGAACAGAAAUCAAAAAUAUCGCAAGCCCGCGUGCUGUUGCAGCAGCUAUUGAAUAUGAAAUAAAAAGACAAAUUUCUAUUCUCGAUGCCGGCGAUAAAAUAUUUAACGAAACUCGCGCAUGGGAUACGGAAAAAAAACAAACUAUUCCUAUGCGUGAAAAGGAAGACAAAGAAGAUUACCGAUUCAUGCCCGAAACAAACUUGCCACCUUUGCGCAUACAUGUCAGAGAAGAAAUACCAAAUAAAGAUAAUUUAGUCGAUGCUGUAGUGUUAAGAAAACAGCUGCCUGAAUUGCCGGAACAAAUACGUCAGAGAUUAAAAAUGGUUUUCAAUAUUUCACCUGAAGUAAUUAUGUCUGUAAUGAGUGAUUUUAUAUUAUUAGACUUAUUCUUUAAAAUUAUAAAGAAAGAUGAGAAUCGCCAACCACAAUUGGUAGCCAAGUUUCUUGCAAUGGAACUAUUAGGUUUUCUUCAUAAAAAUAAAUUAUUAGUCGAUUUUUGCAUACCACACGAAGAUUUCAUCAGCCAAAUAAUUGACUUAUUACAAGACAAAAUGAUCAACUUAACAACGGCAAAGAAACUUUUGAAGGAAUUAUUAAAUGAUUCAAGAAAACUUCCGAUAGAAAUUGUUGAAGAACGAAAUUGGUACAUGAUAUCAGAUAAAAAGCAACUGGAACAGAUAUGUUUAGAAAUUAUAGAAAAAAAUCCAAAACUUGUAUCAGGAUUCAAAUGUGGCAAGAAAAACUUAUUUAAUGCAUUAAUGGGACAAAUAGCAAAAGCUACGGAACAACGUGCAGAUAUGGCUGCUGUUGCAAACCUAAUGGAAAAAUUAUUGAGAUGAGUAACCACCGCGUGCAAUUUCCCGCUAAGCUACUAUUAGGAAUUCUGAAAAGCGGAACUCAGGGAAAACUAUAAAAAUGAAAAUCAUGAAAUUUUUCCCGUCAAACAAAAAUCGAAUACGAAUGAAGAAUAAGAAGGAGGAUAAAGCGCCGUAAAAUUGGCAAAAGAAGCGAAAUGCGCAAAACCAGCGCCGCGGAUAGCAAAUGAUAGACUGACGGAGACUGAACGGAGGAGAACUCAAGACAGGCAGUUUGCUUUAAAGCAUUAGUACUACUAUGCGCUAUUUUCGGAAUGCACGCGAAGACGCACACAAAUAUCAAGGUUGUAUGUUUCAGAGAACAAAUGCAGUAACGCAAUUUUUAACUAUUUCUUUUUUUUUUUUUCACGUAGCAGCUUAUAACAAUAUAAAUCAGUUGAUUUAUAAAAUUUAAAAACGGAUAUAAUCUAUCCCAUGAUAAGUUCGAUUUCAUGCUGAGAGUAAGCUUAAAAGAGUAAGCUUCGAAAAAAAAAACAUAAGUAAAAAUUUCAUUAUGUAUCAAAGUAACUUCAUGUACACGUAUUUUAAUAUAAACUAACGACAUAUCGUUACAAAGAAAUGUAUAAGACGAUUUAAAUGUCUUGACGAUAUUUGUGAACGGUAAAAGUAAUCGGCGUGUACACCAUUUCUAAAUGUCAAAGCGUCACGUAUUCCAAACGCGUUGACAGAAUACUUUUAGAUACGGUCAAGCCCGUGUUCACGAUUAUUUUUAUUUUUUUUAUUUUUUUUUGAUUGCCGAUUAAAUUGUCCAAGGUAAUUUAAGCUCUGUUAAAGCUUUUUAGAAGGGAAAAAAUAUUUGAAUCGAUUUCAUGUAAGAGAACAAAACACAUCCAUUUGGUAAUUGAGUAAAUUUAUGUGCUGACGUCAGAGCAACACAACGAUCCUUGUUAUAUAUAUUUCUAUAUAGUAUUAUAUUAAAUAUCGUAUUUUCCGAAUGUAGGGUGACAGAAUAACGAAUGUUGGACUAUUUUUACCGAGAAUGCACGGAAUAGAGGUUAUUCUUCCAAGAUGCUAAAAAUAAGCCGAAGCUCCCGUGGUUUAUAACGGUUGUUUAUAUGAGAUAAAUAAAAAAGUUACGCCGGAACUGUGAACCAGUUUCCGAAAUUAUUAAGCAACGAUUGCCAAUAAUGCGAAUAUAAUGGAAAGCGUGUUCUUUUUGCACGAUUUAUAUGCUCUCAAUGAAGUAAUCGCGUAAUUAUUAUAUUAUUUGGACCUAUAUUCAACAAUCAAAAAAACACUUUGCAAGAUAACAAUCUACUAUUAGUAUUGUAGUCUCAAAAGGAGAUGAUAGUCUCAUCGUUAUACUCUCCUCGAUUUACAAGCGUUGUAUUUUCCUCUGCGUCACUCAACUGCGCGUUAUCCAAUUUUGGAUUUUUGGCACGUGUCUACCAAACUGUGGCAAGAAGCUCGCAAAUCGAAAUUCGGACAGAUGCUCUGGCGUCAAAAAGAUUGUAUAAAAAAACCGAAGGCCAGUGAAACAGAGAAGUGAUGCAUUUCAUUUUGGAUCAGCGGCAUCAAUUCAUCAUGCAGCAAUUAUAGCGAUUAUAUUAUACUUCAUUUGCAUAAGUCUCUAUUUUGAAAUAUAUAUUACUUCGAGAUUUAAAAAUGAUAAGUGAUUUAUAAUAUACAACGAUUUGUUAAUGUUUGAGAGUGACACGCGCGUUGCACGAUAUUUUAAAUAAAAU